AAGCCCAUGGUUUGACCGCACCGCUCAAAGGAAAUCUGUCUCUCUCUCAAAUCCCUAAAAUCGCCGCUGAGCCAAAAAAUUCCGCUCCCAAAAAUUUCCGAUCUCUCUCUAAUUCCCUCCCUCCCUCACUCUCUCUCGCCAAAUCCAUCGCCGCCGCCCUCCUCUCAUCGUCAUCGUCAGAGCUCACUCUCCGCCUCCCUCCCUUUCUCGUCGCCAAAACCAGCGCCGCCCUCCCUCCUUCCCUCUCUCUCGCCAAAACAAGCGCCGCCCUCCUCUCAUCGUUGCCGUCGUCGGAGUUAUCGCCGCCUCCUCCUCCCCUAAAAUCCCUAAUUCGAGCUCCUCCUCUGAUUCGAGCUCCGCCUCCUUCAUUUGUAGAUUUGAGCUCCUCUACCUCCUCCUCCUCCUCCUCCUUCGUCGCUACUGCCUUUUGUCCUCUACAUUGAAAGCUUGCACUUCCAUCUUGAGUGAACAGGUGGCUAACCGCAUAGAUUGGGGACUUCAUUAUGCAACUAAUCUUUGUGGUAUCAAGAAUUCUGUUCUGAUCUCAGAGAUAUUGGGUGUGGCUUCGGCAGCUUAGGAGCGCAUCUUUUCUCAAAACAGCUUCUAACAAUGUGCAUCGCAAGAUGUGGAAUCGACUAGGAGAAGAAUGAUGAUAUUUUCUUGGUCCAAGUGGACAGACUUUUCUUAGGUUAAUCCAAACUCAACUGAACUUGCAAUUCAUGGACUUAGCCGAGGACGCAUUAAAUUGGAACUCUGCUAUUCGUAACUAUUGGUCUCUUCUUUCACCUCUGAUUUUCUCGGAUCAUCCAAAGAGGCCUGGUGAUGAGGAUCCCUCUCCACCUUUUAACAUGCUCAGAAAUGUGCUUGACAUGAAUGCUCGAUUAGGCGGGUUCUAUGCUGCAUUGUUAAAUGCAGGAAAAUCUGUUUGGGUUAUUAAUGUUGUUCCCACAAGUGGUCCAAAUUAUGUCUCUCUCAUCAUUGACAUGGGAUUUAUUUCAGCACGACUGGUAUGCAUUUAAACCUUCUAAAGAAAAUCUUCAUAGUUUGUAUUAUUUACAAUAUAUUCACUAGGACCACGGCGUUCUAAGUCAGGACAAUCGUUGAUUUACAUUUACCUGUAUCUGCUAAGAUGUAAAGGCUUGGCCUAACACCAACUAUAUUAGCCUGACAAUGGGUUAUUAUUGCUAUGCCUGUCAAGGAGCCCCAGUACAAAGGUGCUCAGCUCCAAUGGUUGGUAUCUUUUUUUUUAUUUGAUUUGCCUAACUGCCCCAACGGUUGGAACCGUUGGGGCAAACUUGGCAACCGUUGGGGCUGACUCAGCCCCAACGCAAUUUGUCCCAACGGUCCUUUUUUCAGCCCCAACGGUUCUAACUGUUGGGGUCAUGAUUUGCCCCAACGGUUUCAACCGUUGGGGCAGCCCUGCUUUGUACUAGUGUGAGCCAAAAAAUUCCGCUCCCUAAAAUCGCCGUGGCCAAGAUCUUCAUAUAAUCGGCGAUCUCAUCACUGAAUUCGUCGUUGUUUUCAUAUUGGAUCUCAUCUCCAAUCUCCUCUCCGAUAUCAUCUUCGAGCUUGUUGUCAUUCUCGUCGUCGACCUACUCUCGUUGGUCUCGUCGCCGUCUUCAGUCCUCGCUGGAGUCCAUUUACUUUCGUCGCCGUUUUCAUCUUGUUCGUUUCAUCGUCGAGCUACUCUCGUUGCUCCAGAAAUUGAGCCCAUAUCUCGCUAACGGGAGCUUUCUAGGGUUUGCUCCACCUAUCUCUUCUCACGAUAUUUUGAUUUCUCAAUUCCCACUACCGCUUUCUGAGUUCAAAUUGAUUUUUCCAGUUAAAUUUAGUGAUUUUUAAAGUUAUUGACUAGCAUAUAAAUUAGCCGGGAAAUCUGUGAUGAUGUAUAUGAAAUCUUUUCAAUGACCCGCUUAGUUAUUGCAUGUUAUAUAUCACUUUUAUUUCUCAAGUUUUGUCCCAAAAAAAUUGAUAAUUUGUUAUGAUGUGUAUCUGAGUCAUGUUCCCCAAUUAAAUGAGUUGCAGACAACUUGUAUGCUAUAUAUAAUCCUUAUCAUCACAAAGAAGAUAAUGUUAUAUAUCACUUUUUAUAAGUCAUGCCUAAUAUCAGUAUAAUCUUAUGUUCUUGAGCCAAGAAAGGGUUCAUAUAAGAAAUUGACAUGUGGCAUAUUUUAUUGAUUAUAUUCAGAAAUCCAUCUUUAUUCCUGAAACAUAAGAGUUCACUUGUGACCAGCAUGGGGCUGAUAAGUCGGAAGGUUCAAUUGACAUAUAAAUGCGGAACAUUGUUAACUUAGAUAUGGACCUGUAAAGGAGACUUUGGUGUGGAGCUCAAGAUUCUGAGAUUAGGAUCAUUCUUCUGAGUUCUAGGAAAGAAGUUCAGGGACAAUCAUCUGCAUGUUUUGUUGUUUAGUGUACUUUCAUCAUGUAUUAUAAACUGAAAUAAUACAUGAUUGCUCUAUUAUUGAGCAAAAUUCAUAACUAGCUGUAAAUAGUUGGACAAGCUUAGUUGCUAUGUAAUUUUUCUUAUUAAACUAGUGAAAGAACCAAUGCACACAUGUUGACCCGUACAGAUGGGAACAUCUUGGAUGCAUCUGUGCAUCAUAUAGUUUCAGAAGUUGUUGCCUAUUGAAGUUGAUUUUGACCUUCAUGUUGAUGAAAACAUGAUUUUAUCCCUUGAGAUAUUAAAUUCCAUAGUGCAAAUCAAUGUUUAAGCUUUUCAUUUGGAAUUACCUCUCUGAUUUGCUGCAGCAAAAGCUAUGCACUUUAUUUUGGUCCCUUCAUGCGCAGUUUAUUCUGUACAAACCAGUAGAAUCACUGUAGUCCUUGAAAACAUAUGGUUGCACACUUGGAUUGGCUCAGUCCAAAUUCUGCUGCUUGGACUGCUGAAAUUGAGCCUGCCAUGUCAGUGCGUGCGGAUCACCCAAAUUCUUGUAGAAACAAUCCCUACUCUCCUUUACAUUAUAUACUAUUUAAUGCAAAGAAUCACUUAACAAAAUGUCAAGGGAUUUUUU